AAGGCACCGUCUAACUUGCCCAGUCAAAUUGCUUCAGAUCACCGGUCCCCAAAUAUCAUCAUUUCCUGCCGCUGACGGUUCCAGAACUCGGAGAGGAGCUCUUCCAAAAGCCAUUUCAACAAAACCUCUCCUCAACUCUCCUUUUGUUCAUCGCAGAUUCCAAUCCGGUUCCCUCUCCCAAUCAACUUCCAGUUCCGCGUAUACCGGAACCUUGCGCACCAGGUAAGACAAUUUCCUUCUUCUUAACGCCUCUUUUGCGAUUGUGUGUGCCAUAAACCAUUAGCCGUUUGAGGCACAUAUGUGAAUCUAACUGUUCGAAAUCUACCUGUGACUUUCUUAAUGUUGUGGAUAUAUGCUCCAAUAACCGAUUUGUCCUGGAUUUUUUCUUUACAUUUCUUAACUAUAGAUAAUGAAUCCCCUUCCACAAUAAUAUCUUCCACCCCAUUUCUGACCCCAUUUCUACUGCCUUUUGACAUGCAAUGGCUUCGGCUGCAAAUGCGGAUGCCACUUCGUCAUGAACUUCCGAACGAGAGCAUAGGGCCGCCCCCUCGACGUUCAUAGCGACAAUUCCUGAAGCCGAUCUAAAAAUACCAUCGUCAUAAGCGCCAUUGAAGUUUAUCUUCAUCGUAUUCCCAGAAGGCUUUCCCCAUUUUCCCCCCAGAUUCGCACUUUGAUAGUGCACAGCAAAUGAUACACUUUUGGUUAAACGAACACCCCCAAUAGCCCAGGACACACUCGAAAUACAUGGGUGAUUGUUUUAGUUACUUCACCACAUCGAUGGACACAUUGUAAUAUGGGUAAGCUUCUUAUGGUUCAUGUUCACAAGAGUGGGGAUGUAAUUCCAGGAGAUCCUCCAAACUGUAAUAUUUAUUUUCCCAAGGAGAUUUAGGCCCCAAAGUUGUUUGUAUAAUUCUUUAGCUUUGUUUUUUAAUGCAUAAACAUUAGGAUCCAUAAGAUACUUUCGUUAUGGUUUGUAAGUAUUGCGAACUGAGAACUCCCUAAAGGGCUCGCCACUCCACACCAUCUGAUCGUCAUGUGCUUCUCGUACCAGUAGGAUACGGAGAAUUCUAGUGGCAUCUUUCCUCCCAAAGGUAUUGAUAAUUAGAUCUUCUUUCCGUACUCUA